AACCUUUGCUGUCUUGGGACGGAUCACCACUGCAAGAGGGGAAGUUGCUACUGUGAUGAAUUCUGCCAUGUGGCACCAGACUGCCACCCAGACCACAGUGUCCUCUGCAACCCUGCUUCUCAGAUGACCAAGAUGGUGCUGCAGAUGGUGCUGAGGAUGGAGAACCCACCAAGCCCCGCUAGGAGCCACCUAGACUGGAUGCAGAGCAUGUUUUAUUUGCUUCCAAGAAGGAAGGCAAGAUUUCCUGGGUCCGUGAUGAUGGAAGGCUGACAACUCUUUUAUGGAGUUUGAGCUUGCUCCCAGCAGGGAAGACAAGUUCGAGUUUUUUUCCUGCUUCAAGGAUGGUAGAGAGCAGUCUUCAGCCUGAGACCCAUCCCUAGAUUUGAAGAUUGUACCAGGAGAGCCGCAGUGUUCCAGAGCUACUGAGGGGGCUGGGCUGGGAUUUGCUGUAUUCGAGAAGACCCCCUUGGACCCGAGAGGCUGUGGGCUUGGGGAGCAUGAGGAGGUUUCACAGCAGAAAGGACACCCCGGGGCUCCUGGAUAAGCCAGAAAAUGUGCCAGGGGAAGUCGGGCUCCAAGGGCACCACUCUGGG
ensembl:lncRNA MUC20-OT1 MUC20 overlapping transcript